UGAUGCACGCAAAAAAACAAAACAACCUAAUCUUCUCUCAUCAGCUUCACGCACACAAAGAACAAACUGAACCCUAGCUUUCAAUUUCACCAAAUUGAUCGAACUAGUUCAACAAAUCUUUGUUUCAGCAAAUCGUUCACUCUCUCACUCGAUCGAACUAUCCCUCUCUCUCUCUCUCUCUCUCUCUCUCUCUCUCACACCCGUUCUCCCUCGAACCCUACCCUCCAAUCUCUUUCACUGAAUCACAAAUUCCAAUCCCUAAUUGAAGAAUCAAGGCUUACUGAACCCAAAUAGAAGCUCAAUGAAACGAAUCAAAGCUGAUUUUGGGUUUUCGGUCGGAGGGAGAGGAACAAGCUGAGAGAGCUUUGAUUCUAUUCUCACACAGUGGUGGUCGCAUACCUGUUCUCUCACUAUCGAACUCUCACAAUCUCGUCAUCUCUCUCAUUGAUGAUUACCUAAUUGCAGAAUCAAGGCUCACUGAUAAACGGAAAUUACAUGAAUUGAAGCUCUCUCGUCCCAAAUCGAAGCUCUCCGACUGAAAACGCAAACAGGAUAGCAAAGGCUUUGAACAGUUGUAGUGCUAGCACUGGUGACAUUAUCAGUACCACAUUGAGGCUCAAACAAGAGCUUGAAACUAUAAUACACAAACACAAGAGAUUGUGACAUGUUUCUUAUGUGAUUAUCAGCUCUCCCCUGAAGAGAUGCAAUCUGUUGAAUGGUCUUUGAAGGAACCAAAUGCUAUGGGCUUAUCAACUUUAGGGAAGGAUGGAAAACACUCAUCACGGAUAGUAUUGCUAAAAGGCUUCGACAAGGAUGCAUUUGUGUGGUCAGUAAUAAACUUGUUAGUAUAUAUAUUAUGGCAAAAUGAACUAGUAUAGAACUUGUUAGUAUAUAUUCUUGUAAUUUUAAAUAAGUUUUAGAGGUUUUAUUUGAUGUUGUUGGAAGUAUAUCAGUAUCAAUGUGGUCCUUGUACCUGUUAAAGUCAGAGUGUAAAAAUGGAGAAAUUACUAAGAGAAUCAAAAGGACAAUCAUUGACUCAGGCUGGGUUUCUCUCUUAUUUGAAGUUCGACGUUGUUUAGCUUGAGUUUUGGUAUGUUGCUAUUUAGGAGCUCUUAGGCCUUGUGAACUGUCUUGAUUUGAUGACAGUGUUGGUGUUGUAAUUUAGCUUGAAGCAUGAUUUCAAUGAACUGCUUGUUAAAUUGAUGCAAAGGUCGGGUGAAUAUCUAUUUGGAAGUUAUAACCAGAAUCUUCCCAGGAAUAUUUCCGUCGUAAAAGAAAUUUUUUCUGGACCUAACCGCCUGGGAACUGAGGAAGCUAUUAUUGAGAUGAUUGACUUCAUGGAAAAACAUGGUGGAAUGGGAAUUGGAACUGACGAAGCAUCAAGCGCAACUAUACCUUCCUCUAGUUAUUAGGCUUCAAAUUGGAAC